CGCGUGCGGGUCUUACCAUGCAAGUCGACGAUGAUGCCCAGCUUGCUGGGCGGAUUAGUGGCGAACGGGUGAGUAAUACGUGAGUAACCUGCCCUUGACUCUGGGAUAAGCCUGGGAAACUGGGUCUAAUACUGGAUACUACCGUCCACCGCAUGGUGGGUGGUGGAAAGGGUUUUACUGGUUUUGGAUGGGCUCACGGCCUAUCAGCUUGUUGGUGGGGUAAUGGCUCACCAAGGCGACGACGGGUAGCCGGCCUGAGAGGGUGACCGGCCACACUGGGACUGAGACACGGCCCAGACUCCUACGGGAGGCAGCAGUGGGGAAUAUUGCACAAUGGGCGGAAGCCUGAUGCAGCGACGCCGCGUGAGGGAUGACGGCCUUCGGGUUGUAAACCUCUUUCAGUAGGGAAGAAGCGAGAGUGACGGUACCUGCAGAAGAAGCGCCGGCUAACUACGUGCCAGCAGCCGCGGUAAUACGUAGGGCGCAAGCGUUGUCCGGAAUUAUUGGGCGUAAAGAGCUCGUAGGCGGUUUGUCGCGUCUGCUGUGAAAGCCCGGGGCUCAACCCCGGGUCUGCAGUGGGUACGGGCAGACUAGAGUGCAGUAGGGGAGACUGGAAUUCCUGGUGUAGCGGUGAAAUGCGCAGAUAUCAGGAGGAACACCGAUGGCGAAGGCAGGUCUCUGGGCUGUUACUGACGCUGAGGAGCGAAAGCAUGGGGAGCGAACAGGAUUAGAUACCCUGGUAGUCCAUGCCGUAAACGUUGGGCACUAGGUGUGGGGGACAUUCCACGUUUUCCGCGCCGUAGCUAACGCAUUAAGUGCCCCGCCUGGGGAGUACGGCCGCAAGGCUAAAACUCAAAGGAAUUGACGGGGGCCCGCACAAGCGGCGGAGCAUGCGGAUUAAUUCGAUGCAACGCGAAGAACCUUACCAAGGCUUGACAUUCACCGGACCGCCCCAGAGAUGGGGUUUCCCUUCGGGGCUGGUGGACAGGUGGUGCAUGGUUGUCGUCAGCUCGUGUCGUGAGAUGUUGGGUUAAGUCCCGCAACGAGCGCAACCCUCGUUCUAUGUUGCCAGCACGUGAUGGUGGGGACUCAUAGGAGACUGCCGGGGUCAACUCGGAGGAAGGUGGGGAUGACGUCAAAUCAUCAUGCCCCUUAUGUCUUGGGCUUCACGCAUGCUACAAUGGCCGGUACAAAGGGUUGCGAUACUGUGAGGUGGAGCUAAUCCCAAAAAGCCGGUCUCAGUUCGGAUUGAGGUCUGCAACUCGACCUCAUGAAGUCGGAGUCGCUAGUAAUCGCAGAUCAGCAACGCUGCGGUGAAUACGUUCCCGGGCCUUGUACACACCGCCCGUCAAGUCACGAAAGUUGGUAACACCCGAAGCCGGUGGCCUAACCCCUUGUGGGAGGGAGCCGUCGAAGUGAAUCGCUG
rnacentral:rRNA from 1 species